CGCGAGGUUGAAGGAGAAGAAGAGUAUCGCAAGUCGUGACUGAAGGAGAAGCAGAGAAUCGCGAGGUUGAAGGAGAAGAGAGUCGCGUCUGAGUCCCAAUUUUGGAAAUAUGAAAAAAA